AAUGAUAUCGUCAUUGUAUUUUGUCAAUGAUAGGGUCUUGCUGCGUCCUAUUGAAAUACGUAAAUAUAAUAACGACGCUAAAUUUUGUACGAUUAAUCUGAGCAGGAAUAUCGGAAUAUCCGAGUGUGGAGACAGCUGGUCUGUCCAAAGAAAGUAGGAAUGGGAGUAUUUAAAGAUAUUAACAAAUACAGACAAGUUCUUGUGGUUUUAGUUUUGUUAAAGUUUGGAAAUACAAUUUAUGUUAAAGACAUACAGGAGGAUGAAAAUUUUAACAAUUUACUGCAAACGACGUCGUUUUUGCCAAAUGGUAACAAUUCGAAAAAUGGAGACCUGUUAUAUUCUCCCGUUGAAUUUUCUGUUGGAACACUUCUAAAAGAUGAAUACUUGUUGCUAGCUAAUGAAAAACUACUCUCAAGACCAAAAAGACAGACAGAGAAUGAAGGCAGUGGUGGUGGACUAAUUGACG